rnacentral:rRNA from 1 species
UACGGGGGGGGCAAGCGUUGUUCGGAAUUACUGGGCGUAAAGGGCUCGUAGGCGGCCAACUAAGUCAGACGUGAAAUCCCCGGGCUUAACCUGGGAACUGCGCUUGUAACUGGCAGGCUUGAGUGCGGCAGAGGGGGGUGGAAUUCCACGUGUAGCAGUGAAAUGCGUAGAGAUGUGGAGGAACACCGAUGGCGAAGGCAGCCCCCUGGGUCGACACUGACGCUCAUGCACGAAAGCGUGGGGAGCAAACAGG